rnacentral:rRNA from 1 species
AGUGAACGCUGGCGGUAGGCCUAACACAUGCAAGUCGAACGGCAGCACAGUAAGAGCUUGCUCUUACGGGUGGCGAGUGGCGGACGGGUGAGGAAUACAUCGGAAUCUACUUUUUCGUGGGGGAUAACGUAGGGAAACUUACGCUAAUACCGCAUACGACCUACGGGUGAAAGCAGGGGAUCUUCGGACCUUGCGCGAUUGAAUGAGCCGAUGUCGGAUUAGCUAGUUGGCGGGGUAAAGGCCCACCAAGGCGACGAUCCGUAGCUGGUCUGAGAGGAUGUGCAGCCACGCGGGAAAUGAAACGCGGUCCAAACUCCACAGGGAGACGGCGGUGGGGUAUAUGGGACAGUGGGCGCAAGCCUGACCCAGCCAAACCGCGUGGGUGAAAAGGGCCUUCGGUUUAAACACCCUUUUUUUUGGAAAAAAAAAACAGAGGAUUAAACCCCCGCUGUUCGGCAGAUCCCCAAAAAAUAGGCCCCGACAAUUUUCGUG